GAUGAACGCUAGCUACAGGCUUAACACAUGCAAGUCGAGGGGCAGCACUAGGUAGCAAUACUGAGGUGGCGACCGGCGCACGGGUGCGUAACGCGUAUCCAACCUUCCCGAUACUCUUGGAUAGCCUUCCGAAAGGGAGAUUAAUACAAGAUGGUGUUUCACUUUCGCAUGUUAUUGAAACUAAAGAUUUAUCGGUAUCGGAUGGGGAUGCGUGACAUUAGAUAGUAGGCGGGGUAACGGCCACCUAGUCUACGAUGUCUAGGGGUUCUGAGAGGAAGGUCCCCCACACUGGAACUGAGACACGGUCCAGACUCCUACGGGAGGCAGCAGUGAGGAAUAUUGGGUCAAUGGUCGGAAGACUGAACCAGCCAAGUAGCGUGAAGGAUGAAGGUUCUAUGGAUUGUAAACUUC
rnacentral:rRNA from 1 species